AACGAACGCUGGCGGCAGGCCUAACACAUGCAAGUCGAGCGAGGACUUCGGUUCUAGCGGCGGACGGUUGAGUAAUGCGUGGGAAUGUGCCCUUCUCCACGGAAUAGCCCUGGGAAACUGGGAGUAAUACCGUAUACGUCCUAUUGGGGUAAGAUUUAACGGAGAAGGAUCAGCCUGCGUUGGAUUAGGUAGUUGUUGGGGUAAUGGCCUACCACGACUACGAUCCAUAGCUGGAUUGGGAGAAUGAUCAGCGACACUGGCGCUGAGGCAGGACCCGGACUGCUAAGAGAGGCAGCAGAGGGGAAUCAUGGACAAUAGGGGGAACCCUGAACUAGCCAUGCCGGGUAAGUGAUGAGGGGGUUAGGGAAGGAAAGCACUUUGAGCUAGGAAGAUAAUGACGGUACCAGCAGAAGAAGCCCCGGCUAACUCCGUG
rnacentral:rRNA from 1 species